SGGCGUGCCUACCAUGCAAGUCGAACGAGAACCCAUUCUUAUGAUUGGGGGGCAGUGGCGGACGGGUGAGUAACACGUUGGUGACCUGCCCCGAAGAUAGGGACAACCCCUCGAAAGAGGGGCUAAUACCUAAUGUGCUUGCGCUGUUUAGAAAAGCGCAAGUAAAGCUCCGGCGCUUCGGGAGGGGCCAGCGGCCUAUCAGCUAGUUGGUGAGGUAACGGCUUACCAAGGCGAUGACGGGUAGGGGGCGUGAGAGCGUGACCCCCCACAAUGGAACUGAGACACGGUCCAUACUCCUUCGGGAGGCAGCAGUGAGGGAUAUUGCACAAUGGGGGAAACCCUGAUGCAGCAACGCCGCGUGGGUGAUGAAGGCCUUCGGGUUGUAAAACCCUUUUCUGGGGGAAGAGAAAGGACGGUACCUCAGGAAUAAGUCCCGGCUAACUACGUGCCAGCAGCCGCGGUAAAACGUAGGGGGCGAGCGUUAUCCGGAAUUACUGGGCGUAAAGGGCGUGCAGGC
rnacentral:rRNA from 1 species